rnacentral:rRNA from 1 species
UACGUAGGGUGCAAGCGUUUAAUCGGAAUUACUGGGCGUAAAGCGUGCGUAGGCGGCUAUGUAAGACAGAUGUGAAAUCCCUGGGCUUAACCUAGGAACUGCAUUUGUGACUGCAUUGCUAGAGUGUGGUAGAGGGAGAUGGAAUUCCGCAUGUAGCAGUGAAAUGCGUAGAUAUGCGGAGGAACACCAAUGGCGAAGGCAAUCUCCUGGACCUGCACUGACGCUCAUGCACGAAAGCGUGGGGAGCAAACAGG